AGUAAUGAAAGGUUUGACGAAUGCUAUGAUAUCUGGUUGUAUACACAAGUAGUAAAUUUAUCAAACAAUAACUUAAAAGAUUAGUUUUAGGUUAGAUGCUUUUAGUUGUGGUGGCUGUUAAGCUGACUUGGUCUAAUGGUGACAUAAAUGGUGUAGUGUGUUAUAACAAUGUUUAAACAGAGAAUAGGGAUUAAAAUAGCUAGUGUGGGGUAUUAAACUUUGUGUCGUUAUUAAAACAGACAAAAUAAUAAUGUGGGCAUGAGUAUAAGGUUGUAGUAGGAGCAUUUAAUUAUAUGGGGUGUAGUGGUUUACAUAUAAAAUGUUGUAGUUGAAGAAUUCGGCAAAUUGGUUUUUAACUGUUUAUCAAAAACAUUUCUCCUUAAUAAUAAGGAGUAAGGCCUGCCCGGUGGUGUAUUAACGGCUGCGGUAUUUUGACCGUACGAAGGUAGCAUAAUAAGUAGUCUUUUAAUUGGAGACUGGAAUGAAGGGUACUAUAAAAAACCGGCUGUUUUAAUUGCAGGUAUAAAAUUUGAUUAUCAAGUAAAAAGGCUUGAAUAAAUAAAAGUGACAAGAAGACCCUAGGAGUUUUAUGCUUGUGGUUGGUUACGUAUUUGUUGGGUUUAGUACAAACUAUUCUUUAUAGCAUUUAACUGGGGCGGUUAUAAUAUUAUCGAUUAAAGAAUUUACUAAAAUUUGAGAACUGUUUUUAGUAUUAGAUCCUCUUUGGAAUGUCGUAUUANUUACCUAGGGGAUACAGCAUAAUCUUCUUUGAGAGAUCUUAUUGACGGGGAGGUGGG
rnacentral:rRNA from 1 species